rnacentral:rRNA from 1 species
UGGGGAAUAUUGGACAAUGGGCGAAAGCCUGAUCCAGCCAUGCCGCGUGUGUGAAGAAGGUCUUCGGAUUGUAAAGCACUUUAAGUUGGGAGGAAGGGCAUUAACCUAAUACGUUAGUGUUUUGACGUUACCGACAGAAUAAGCACCGGCUAACUCUGUGCCAGCAGCCGCGGUAAUACAGAGGGUGCAAGCGUUAAUCGGAAUUACUGGGCGUAAAGCGCGCGUAGGUGGUUUGUUAAGUUGGAUGUGAAAGCCCCGGGCUCAACCUGGGAACUGCAUCCAAAACUGGCAAGCUAGAGUACGGUAGAGGGUGGUGGAAUUUCCUGUGUAGCGGUGAAAUGCGUAGAUAUAGGAAGGAACACCAGUGGCGAAGGCGACCACCUGGACUGAUACUGACACUGAGGUGCGAAAGCGUGGGGAGCAAGCA